GUGGAGGUGAUUGCACACAAAACUUGAUUGUCAGUGAUUUUUAAGUAUUCAUACUGUCUGAUCCAC